rnacentral:rRNA from 1 species
AUGGACCAGUUGACUGCAUAUGAGCCUGAACCUAGUAUGCUACAUUAUACCACCCGGUUUGUGGAUGGAUUGAAGCACACCGUCAGAAUGAUAGUAGCUGUCCAACGUCAUGUUGAUUUGGACAUGGCCUACUCAAUUGCUUUGGUGCAAGAGGAAGUUGGUGACAGUGAGCCAGACUGCAACAAGCGCUCUUAUUCUUCUGCUUCAUCUAGACAGUACAGACAGCAACCUGAUAAUAAGGUACAAACAUAUGCUAGAAUUGGGGAUUCUCACAACGGAACAACUGCUUCAGAGGAUAAGUUAGCGACUCUCAAAGCAUAUCGCAGAGCCAAGGGUCCGUGUUACAUAUGUGGUGAAAAAUGGGGCAGAGAACAUAGGUGCAAUACUACAGUGAAAUUACAUGUAGUGCAGGAAUUGUUGGAAUUUUGUGCACCAGAAUCGCCUGAUUCUGAUGAGAGUGAUAUGGAUCCAAUGGUGUUAUCUGCAGAAACACAAUCAGCUAGUCAAACUAACAGUGCUAUUCGACUCACUUGUCAAGUUUCAGGACAGGAAGUAGUCUUCUUAUUGGAUUCUGGUAGCUCACAUUAA